rnacentral:rRNA from 1 species
UGGGAAGUAUUGCAUCAAUGGCAGGCAAGCCAUGACUGCAGCCAUGCCGCGCUGUAUGAAGAAGGCCAAUUCGGGGCUUUGGUUAAAGAUACUUUUCAGCGAGGAGGAAGGCGUUGUGGUUAAUAACCGCAGCGAUUGACGUUACUCGCAGAAGAAGCACCGGCUAACUCCGUGCCAGCAGCCGCGGUAAUACGGAGGGUGCAAGCGUUAAUCGGAAUUACUGGGCGUAAAGCGCACGCAGGCGGUCUGUCAAGUCGGAUGUGAAAUCCCCGGGCUCAACCUGGGAACUGCAUCCGAAACUGGCAGGCUAGAGUCUUGUAGA